CGCGUAGGCGGCCUGCUAAGUCGAACGUGAAAUCCCCGGGCUCAACCCAGGAACUGCGUCCGAUACUGGUUGGCUUGAAUCCGGGAGAGGGAUGUGGAAUUCCAGGUGUAGCGGUGAAAUGCGUAGAUAUCUGGAGGAACACCGGUGGCGAAGGCGACAUCCUGGACCGGCAUUGACGCUGAGGCGCGAAAGCCAGGGAGCAAACG
rnacentral:rRNA from 1 species